rnacentral:tRNA from 1 species
AAAAUUUAGUUAAAAAAUAACAUUAGUUUGUCAAGCUAAAAUUAUCAAUUUGAUAAUUUUUA